rnacentral:rRNA from 1 species
GAUGAACGCUGGCGGCGUGCCUAAUACAUGCAAGUCGAGCGCACAGACGAGAAGCUUGCUUCUCUGAUGUUAGCGGGGGACGGGUGAGUAACACGUGGAUAACCUACCUAUAAGACUGGGAUCACCUCGGGAAACCGGAGCUAAUACCGGAUAUUAUUUUGAACCGGAUGGUUCAAAAGUGAUUGACGGUCUUGCUGUCACUUAUAGACGGUCACGCGUUGCAUUAGCUAGUUGGUAAGGUAACAGCUUACCAAGGCAAGGAUGCAUAGCUGACCUGAGAGGGUGUUAGGGCACUGUGGAAGUGAGAGACGGUACUGGGACCUACGGGAGGCAGCAGGAGGGAAUCGAUGGCAAUGGGCGAAAUCUUGCCGGAGCAACGCCGCGUGGGUGAAGAAGCUCCUCGGAUCGUAAUACUCUGUUAGUAGGGAAGAACGUAUUUGUAAGUGACUGUGCUUAUUUUGACGGUACCUGAUCAGAAAGCAACGGCUAACUACGUG